rnacentral:misc_RNA from 1 species
GUAUUGAACUGUAACUCCAAAUCAAUAAGCUACUUCUUAUCAGUCAAGAACUUUUCUUGUUUGCAUUUGCAAGCCCCCCUUCUCCUCUCUUUUUGCUUUGCUAGUCACGUAUGUUUGUUUGUUCAGAAAAGACAAGGAAGGAAAAGAGACAGAGACAGGAUCUCUACCCCCCUCCCCUCCUCAUCUCCCCUGAGGUUGUAAAGUAUUUCUUUGAUGAUCCCUCCGCAGGUUCACCUACGGAGA